rnacentral:rRNA from 1 species
UACGUAGGGACCAAGCGUUGUUCGGAUUUACUGGGCGUAAAGGGCGCGUAGGCGGCUUGACAAGUCACUUGUGAAAUCUCCGGGCUUAACUCGGAACUGCCAAGUGAAACUGUCAUGCUAGAGUGCAGAAGGGGCAAUCGGAAUUCUUGGUGUAGCGGUGAAAUGCGUAGAUAUCAAGAGGAACACCUGAGGUGAAGACGGGUUGCUGGGCUGACACUGACGCUGAGGCGCGAAAGCCAGGGAGCAAACGGG